GGCGGAGGAGAUACUAAGUGUUGGAGGGUUUCCGCCCUUCAGUGCUGCAGCUAACGCAUUAAGUAAUCCGCCUGGGGAGUACGACCGCAAGGUUGAAACUCAAAAGAAUUGACGGGGGCCCGCACAAGCGGUGGAGCAUGUGGUUUAAUUCGAAGCUACGCGAAGAACCUUACCAGGUCUUGACAUCUUCUGCCAACCUAAGAGAUUAGGCGUUCCCUUCGGGGACAGAAUGACAGGUGGUGCAUGGUUGUCGUCAGCUCGUGUCGUGAGAUGUUGGGUUAAGUCCCGCAACGAGCGCAACCCUUAUUACUAGUUGCCAGCAUUCAGUUGGGCACUCUAGUGAGACUGCCGGUGACAAACCGGAGGAAGGUGGGGACGACGUCAAAUCAUCAUGCCCCUUAUGACCUGGGCUACACACGUGCUACAAUGGAUGGUACAACGAGUCGCGAAACCGCGAGGUUUAGCUAAUCUCUUAAAACCAUUCUCAGUUCGGACUGUAGGCUGCAACUCGCCUACACGAAGUCGGAAUCGCUAGUAAUCGCGGAUCAGCAUGCCGCGGUGAAUACGUUCCCGGGCCUUGUACACACCGCCCGUCACACCAUGAGAGUUUGUAACACCCAAAGCCGGUGGGGUAACCUUUUAGGAGCUAGCCGUCUAAGGUGGGACAGAUGAUUAGGGUGAAGUCUAAAAGGGGGGAACCAAAAAAGUCGGGUUGGCGGGGGUCUCUGGGU
rnacentral:rRNA from 1 species